CCUGGAAUUUGUGUGAGAGUAUAUUUCAUAAAUAUAUGUCAUUUUACAUGAAAAGAAAGUGGAUGUCUGAUAAUAAAAGAGAGGUUGAAUCAGAAAAUAUUCCAAGUACAAGUAGCGAACCUCAAGAGCAAAUAGAAGAAACAACUUGUGGUGAGCCUGUAUUAGAGAAGAGUGCUCAACAAAGACACCAACCUAAGAACAGAAAAAAAAUUCAUUGUGUUCUUCACCCAACUGUUUGAACUUUUUAAAUUCUGCCCAAUUUGCAAAUCAGAUGAUGUUCUUGUUGAGAUAUUGCAAAAUGAUUCAAUGGCAAAAGUGAAAGUUAGUUGUUCCAAUCAAAAAUGUGGAGCAGCCACAACAUGGAAUAGUCAACCAGUCAUGACUGGGACUUCCAUUCCUGCUGGAAAUUUGCUAUUGUCAUUUGCUAUUUUUACUGCUGGAACCUCUGCCACAAAGGUGAUCAGAGUUCUAAAGCAUGAAAUGACAUAAAAAUGAAAGGCCAUAAAAAUAUAAUGAACUGUCCAAAAAACCGAAAGUAACCAGUUUUUUAGGACCUGGUGGUAUGAGCCCAGUUAGUUGGGAUUCAGUGAAGUGUGAAUUGACUGCAUGGAAAGAAUAAAGAGAAAGGAAUUGUAAUUUUGUAUGUUUUGUAUAACAAGUAUAAGUGUGAAUCGAAGAUGCAAUAUAUCAAGAGUGGCUUAAAUCAUUCCACACUUUACUGAAUCCCUACUAGCUGGGCUCAUGCAAACAACUCCUAAAAUGAUAUAUAAUGUUAUGUUAUUUUACAGAUUGUCCUCUUCAUACCCUGCAAACUGUUCAUUUUUUUUAAAUUAAAAGUUUU